rnacentral:rRNA from 1 species
GCCGAUAACUAGCUCUCUGCAACUCUGCAAAUCACCCACUGAAGCUAAGCAGGGCUGCGCCCGGUCAGUACCUGGAUGGCAGACCACAUGGGAAAGCUAGGUUGCUGCCGGAA